rnacentral:rRNA from 1 species
CUAAGUUUGAUGGCGACCGGCGCACGGGUGAGUAACACGUAUCCAACCUGCCGAUGACUCGGGGAUAGCCUUUCGAAAGAAAGAUUUAUACCCGAUGGCAUAGUUCUUCCGCAUGGUAGAACUAUUAAAGAAUUUCGGUCAUCGAUGGGGAUGCGUUCCAUUAGGUUGUUGGCGGGGUAACGGCCCACCAAGCCUUCGAUGGAUAGGGGUUCUGAGAGGAAGGUCCCCCACAUUGGAACUGAGACACGGUCCAAACUCCUACGGGAGGCAGCAUG